UACGUAGGGGGCAAGCGUUUGUCCGGAAUCACUGGGCGUAAAGGGUGCGUAGGCGGGUCUUUUAAGUCAGGGGUGAAAUCCUGGAGCUCAACUCCAGAACUGCCUUUGAUACUGAAGAUCUUGAGUUCGGGAGAGGUGAGUGGAACUGCGAGUGUAGAGGUGAAAUUCGUAGAUAUUCGCAAGAACACCAGUGGCGAAGGCGGCUCACUGGCCCGAUACUGACGCUGAGGCACGAAAGCGUGGGGAGCAAACAGG
rnacentral:rRNA from 1 species